UACGGAGGGUGCGAGCGUUGUCCGGAAUCACUGGGCGUAAAGGGCGCGUAGGUGGCGAGGCAAGCGUGCGGUGAAAGCUCGGGGCUCAACCCCGAGUCGGCCGUGCGAACUGCUUUGCUUGAGCACUGUAGAGGCAGAUGGAAUUCCGGGUGUAGCGGUGGAAUGCGCAGAUAUCAGGAGGAACACCGGUGGCGAAGGCGGGUCUCUGGGCCGAUACUGACGCUGAGGAGCGAAAGCGUGGGGAGCGAACAGG
rnacentral:rRNA from 1 species